GAGGCGCGCGGCCCCAGGUUCGCGCGGCGGCGGGCGCGGGCGCUCCCAUCCGAGGAAGGCAUGAUACCGCGGCUGACACACCGGCGCUAGCAGAGCGCGUAAGAGCUGCUUGCGGCUUCAUCCUGUGCUGCCCUUGAAACCCGCUGCUGGGGCUGCUGUGCCUGUCCCCGAGUCUAGCAGAGUUUUGCAGGCCAACAUGUCUCGGGAGACUGGAAGUGAAGCGCAGCAGUCUCAAGGUGCUGCACAGUCGCAGAGCGGUACCAGCUCCACUUCCAGUGGGUCGCAGAGCACUAGUCAGUCUUCCUCAAGCUCUGGGACACUCAGUUCUUUGGACACUGUUCCCACUCAAGAGCUCCCAUCGAUUCCUGAGGAUCAGGAAUCUGAAGAGCUGGUUCCUCAGCCUUGGGGUCGCCUCUUUGCACUUGGAAAAGGUUUCAGCAACUGUGACUGCGUGAAUGAUGAAUACUGGUUUGGAAGAGACAAAAGCUGUGAUUAUAGUUUUUCUAAAUUAGGAUUGUCUGAGACUGGCUUUUACCAAAACUAUAGUAAGAAGCACUUCCGAAUUUUCAGGGAAAUGGGUCCAAAAAAUUCCUAUGUUGCCUACAUUGAGGAUCACAGUGCAAAUGGAACUUUCAUUAAUAGAGAACUCAUUGGGAAAGGGAAGAAGCUUCCAUUGACUCAUAACUCUGAAAUUGCACUGUCUAUACAGACUAAUAAGGUGUUUGUAUUUUCUGAUCUUAUGGUGGAUGAUCAGUUGGGAUUUCCUAGAGAAUUCAGAGAGAAAUAUAUCAUGUCAAAGACUUUGGGAAGUGGUGCCUGUGGAGAAGUUAAAUUGGCGUUUGAGAAAAGUACCUGUAACAAGGUUGCAGUAAAGAUAAUCAAUAAACGGAAGUUUAUGGCAAGUGGUAUUAGAGAGGCAAACCCAGCUUUUAAUAUCAACACAGAAAUAGAGAUUUUGAAGAAAAUAGAUCAUCCUUGCUUAAUCAAGAUCAAAAACUUCUUUGAAGCAGAGGAUUACUACAUUGUUUUGGAACUGAUGGAAGGAGGAGAAUUGUAUGACAGAGUGUCACGACCAACCAAAAUGAAAGAGGCUACUUGCAAGUUGUAUUUUUAUCAGAUGCUGUUGGCUGUAAAGUACCUUCAUGAUAAUGGAAUUAUACACCGAGAUCUAAAGCCAGAGAAUGUGCUACUUUCAUCUGCUGAAGAAACAUGUCUUAUAAAGAUUACAGAUUUUGGACAAUCCAAGAUUCUUGGAGAAACUUCUCUUAUGAAAACAUUAUGUGGUACUCCCACGUAUCUUGCUCCUGAAGUUCUAAAUUCACUUGGGACUGCUGGAUACAGCCGAGCUGUGGACUGUUGGAGUUUAGGAGUUAUUCUUUUUGUAUGCUUGUGUGGAUAUCCACCAUUUAAUGAGCAGAAUACUCAACUGUCUCUGAAAGACCAAAUCACCCGUGGAGAAUACACAUUUAUUUCAAAAGAAUGGAAGCAUGUAACAGACAUGGCUCUGGACCUUGUGAAGAAGCUGCUAGUAGUGGAUCCAAGCAAACGUCUGACAACAGAGGAAGCCUUAGAGCAUCCCUGGCUUCAGGUGAUGUACACUGCCUGCUUGGAAGGCCGACGUCCAGUAUGUUCAGUUCUAGAUAUCACACACCUUGAAUACUACCACCGAAAGAGCUACUUCAGUGCUGUUACUGUGAGUAGUGAGGAGGAGCUACUGGCUCCCCACUCCCUCUUGCAUUGUCUGAUGAGGAUAUGAAGAGUACCUUUCAACAUUUACUUGCUCAAGCAAGUGCCACUAUGAAUCCACCACAAACGUCAAAAGUGCCAACCACAACUAGAAAGCGUCUCCAUGAAAAUGAGGAAGAAUCUGGCUCUUCUAAGCGUGCUGUUCCUUCUUCGUCAUUUCAGA